AGGGGCCUCCGUGGCCGAGUGGUUAAAGUCGUUGACUUGAGAUCACAGGUCCCUCACCACUGUAGGUUCGAUCCUCACUCGGGUCGAAAUCUUUCAUGUGAGGAAGCCAUCCAGCUGGCUUACGGAAGGGGCACCUGGGGUCUUCCUCCACCAAUAAAGCUGGAAAAAAAUCGACGAAAAAUCUCGGCGGGACGCUCUAGGAUGACCCGACUUGAGUGUACGGUCGCCCAUAUGGGUUUCCGGCGGCGACCUUAAAUAAACGCCUCAAAAAAAAAAAAAAAAAAAAA